UCCCGUGUGGCUCAGUUGGUAGAGCAUGGUGUUUGCAAUGUCAGGGUUUUGGGUUUGAUUCCCACGGGGA
rnacentral:tRNA from 1 species